rnacentral:rRNA from 1 species
UACGGGGGGAGCAAGCGUUGUUCGGAUUUACUGGGCGUAAAGGGCGCGUAGGCGGUCGUGACAAGUCACUUGUGAAAUCUCCGGGCUUAACUCGGAACGGUCAAGUGAUACUGUCGGACUAGAGUACAGAAGGGGCAACUGGAAUUCUCGGUGUAGCGGUGAAAUGCGUAGAUAUCGAGAGGAACACCUGCGGCGAAGGCGGGUUGCUGGGCUGAUACUGACGCUGAGUGAGCGAAAGCCAGGGGAGCAAACAGG